UGGGGAAUAUUGGACAAUGGGCGAAAGCCUGAUCCAGCCAUGCCGCGUGUGUGAAGAAGGUCUUCGGAUUGUAAAGCACUUUAAGUUGGGAGGAAGGGCAUUAACCUAAUACGUUAGUGUUUUGACGUUACCGACAGAAUAAGCACCGGCUAACUCUGUGCCAGCAGCCGCGGUAAUACAGAGGGUGCAAGCGUUAAUCGGAAUUACUGGGCGUAAAGCGCGCGUAGGUGGUUUGUUAAGUUGGAUGUGAAAUCCCCGGGCUCAACCUGGGAACUGCAUUCAAAACUGACUGACUAGAGUAUGGUAGAGGGUGGUGGAAUUUCCUGUGUAGCGGUGAAAUGCGUAGAUAUAGGAAGGAACACCAGUGGCGAAGGCGACCACCUGGACUAAUACUGACACUGAGGUGCGAAAGCGUGGCGAGCAAACA
rnacentral:rRNA from 1 species